GUUCUUAGCACUUUCUUCUUUGGCUCCCCACCGCGCGCAGGUUGGCGUACGCUGAGCUGGACCCUCGCAGCAAGAAUGGCACGUGGGAAUUGACACCGCGAUCGUGGAACACAUGGCUGAUCUGCCUCGAAUAACUGCAAGCCGGCGCGUGCGUAGUGCCGUGGAGAACGAUCAGAAGUCCUGGACGACAAAGAAAAAAACUUCAAAGCUGCCUCUGCGAACCCCGCUCCUGGACAACAGCUGGGAGGCUCUGUGUUUAAACGCGUGCACCUUGGACGUCAUGCUCGUAAAUACCAAUUCCUUUGUCAUUCCUGGCAUGAAUUUUGUUGGUAAAGCAAUAGGUAAAAUUGUGCAUUGUUGUUUACAAUCACUUCAGUAUGAACCAGGCUUAAAGGAGAAGGGACCGACAACUGGCCAGAACUUGUGAUUAGAUCCUGUCAGAAAUGAAAAUACCGCGCUAUAUGCUGACAUAUUCCAGCAUCCUUUUCGCGCUGUGAGUAGGAUUUAUAUCUCUAAAUUGUGUUUAAAAGUAACAAAAAAAUUAUGUUGUGCAACCUAUCGCAAGAGCCUUGAAGCUAGAUUGCAGAGUUGAUCACUUUGCUGUACAAAGUCACGUAGUCUGAUACCGUCAUGUGUGCCAUUAUUGGUCCUAAAAAUAUUAGUAUGUAUAUUACUAUCCAUCCCCGCUCUAUUCUGUGCUGCUUAUGAGGUAAAAGGAGUUGCAUGGUGACAAGAAACGGCGCUGCCUUCGCGGUAGCCAGUGGACCAUGUCGAGCCGCAGCACAUGCGCGCGAGUACACACACACGCAGUAAACCGCCGCGCUCGAACACGAACCGCUGUCACGCUCACUGUUUGCAGCAUGCCUUGUUACGUGUGUAUACAACUUCAUAUCCGUCGCAGAUAGAAAAAUUCGAAUUACAAAUGUUUCACGGCAUUUUCCACAUCACCAUUCCUUGAUUAUACACUCUUGACUGGUAAGCUUUCUGUCGCGCUAAAGAAAAUAGGUACCAUAAAAGUUGGUUGUCGGUCCCUUUAACCUCUUAACACACACAGGUCAAAAUAGGCAUGCUAUAUCCCCGUUGUGCACCAUCUUUGUGCGUUUGUGUGUGCAGUAUGGACAUGUACAUUAAGGCUUUGUUUUUGUUCUCAGCUGCCUCUGCGAGCCCUGCUGUUGGACGCCAGCUGGAAUGCUCUGCGUUUGAAAGCGUGCGCCCCAGAUGUCAUACUCAUAAAUACAGAGUUCUCAUGAUUCUAGUGUUGAAAAAGCAAUAAGUAAAAGCAGGCACUUGUGCAUCUGGAAUGAGGUUUAACCCUGUCUCAGGAGACAUAAGACAAUAUAGUCAUGCUAUGUUCCUGUUGUUCACCAUUUUCAUGCAUGUUGUGUGCAGUACGUAUACAUACAUGCAGGCUUUGUUUUUGUUGCCCUCAGCUGCCUCUGCAAGCCCUUUUGCUGGACGCCAUGGAAGGCCCUCCACUCGAAAGUGUGCACCUUAGACUACACGCUCAUCAAUACCAAGUUCUUUGUCCUUCUCGGCAUGAUUGUAGUGCCAUAUAAUAGUGAGGCAAUAAAUCAUUUUUGCUGGUCACUUGAUGUUCCAUGCAUGUUGCUUGGUUUCUGAACACUUGACUUGGUUUUAAGUUAUCUAGUUAUCUAUGUGA